CUUGGGAGAUGAGUAUUCUAAGGCGCUCGGGAGAACCACUCUUAAGGAACUCGACCAAUUGACCCCGUAACUUCGGAAGAAGGGGUGCUCUCGCCGUCAUGGGCAUACGCCCGGCAGCGGUUGAGAGCGGCACUGAAAUGGCUCAGGCGACUGUUUAUCAAAAACACAGGUCUCUGCUAAGUCGUAAGACGACGUAUAGGGGCUGACGCCUGCCCAAUGCCGGAAGGUUAACGGGAGAGGUUAGCGUAAGCGAAGCUUUGAACCGAAGCCCCGGUUAAUGGCGGCCGUAACUAUAACGGUCCUAAGGUAGCGAAAUUCCUUGUCGGGUAAGUUCCGACCUGCACGAAUGGCGUAACGAUCUGAGCAUUGUCUCAAGGGUGGUCCCGGUGAAGUUGUAUUACCUGUGAAGAUGCAGGUUACCCGCAGUAGGACGGAAAGACCCUGUGCACCUUCACUGCAGAUUGAUAUUGGGUUUAGUUGUGGUUUGUAUAGGAUAGGUGGGAGUCAUUGAAGCUGGCGCGUUAGCGUCGGUGGAGACAACCUUGGAAUACCACCCUGACCUUAACUGAAUUCUAACUCCGAACCCGUGAAGCCGGGCGGAGGACAGUGUCUGUCGGGCAGUUUGACUGGGGCGGUCGCCUCCCAAAGAGUAACGGAGGCGCCCCAAGGUUCCCUCAGCACGGAUGGAAAUCGUGCGUCGAGUGUAAAGGCAAAAGGGAGCUUAACUGCGAGACCAACAAGUCGAGCAGAUACGAAAGUAGGGCUUAGUGAUCCAGCGGUCCCAUAUGGAAGGGCCGUUGCUCAACGGAUAAAAGGUACGCCGGGGAUAACAGGCUGAUAACCCCCAAGAGUUCACAUCGACGGGGUUGUUUGGCACCUCGAUGUCGGCUCGUCACAUCCUGGGGCUGAAGCAGGUCCCAAGGGUUCGUCUGUUCGCCGAUUAAAGUGGCACGCGAGCUGGGUUCAAAACGUCGCGAGACAGUUUGGUCCCUAUCCACUGCGGGCGUAGGAAAUUUGCGGGAAGCCGUCUCUAGUACGAGAGGACCGAGAUGGACAUACCCCUGGUGUUCCGGUUGUCACGCCAGUGGCAUCGCCGGGUAGCUAUGUAUGGACGGGAUAAGCGCUGAAAGCAUCUAAGCACGAAGCCCCUCCCAAGAUAAGAUUUCCCAGACCAUAAGGUCUCUAAAGGGCCCUCGAAGACUACGAGGUAAUAGGCUGGAGGUGUAAGCGUAGCGAUACGUUAAGCUGACCAGUACUAAUCAGCCCGUGCGGCUUGGUCGA
rnacentral:rRNA from 1 species